CUAAUACGCAUGAGACCACGGCUUCGAAAGAAGCAGAGGUAAAAGCAGCCCUCUUCAUGAAAGGUUGCACUCGAGGAUGAGCCCGCGGCCCAUCAGGCAGUUGGCAGGGUAACGGCCUACCAAACCUAAGACGGGUAGCUGGUCUGAGAGGAUGAUCAGCCACACUGGAACUGAGACACGGUCCAGACUCCUACGGGAGGCAGCAGUGGGGAAUCUUGCGCAAUGGACGAAAGUCUGACGCAGCGACGCCGCGUGGGUGAUGAAGGCCUUCGGGUUGUAAAGCCCUGUGGGUGGGGACGAAUAAGUGCAACCUAAUACGUUGCAUGAUGACGGUACCCACUUAGCAAGCACCGGCUAACUCUGUGCCAGCAGCCGCGGUAA
rnacentral:rRNA from 1 species